rnacentral:rRNA from 1 species
AUUGAACGCUGGCGGCAUGCCUUACACAUGCAAGUCGAACGGCAGCACGGGAGCAAUCCUGGUGGCGAGUGGCGAACGGGUGAGUAAUAUAUCGGAACGUGCCCAGUAGUGGGGGAUAGCCCGGCGAAAGCCGGAUUAAUACCGCAUACGACCUGUGGGUGAAAGCGGGGGAUCGCAAGACCUCGCGCUAUUGGAGCGGCCGAUAUCAGAUUAGCUAGUUGGUGGGGUAAAGGCCUACCAAGGCGACGAUCUGUAGCUGGUCUGAGAGGACGACCAGCCACACUGGAACUGAGACACGGUCCAGACUCCUACGGGAGGCAGCAGUGGGGAAUUUUGGACAAUGGGCGCAAGCCUGAUCCAGCAAUGCCGCGUGAGUGAAGAAGGCC